rnacentral:lncRNA from 1 species
UUAGGCAUUAUAUAAAACAAAAAGCGAAAAACAAAACAACAAAAACAAAGAUAUGCAACAGAGUCCACGCAUGACCUGCAAAGUCUUAAGUAUUUACUUUCUGGCUCUUUACUGAAAGAGUCUGUGGUCCUGUGUAAUUGAGAAGAUGAACCUACUAAAAUCCAGCUACUCCUAGGCACAGCAUCCUGGCCUCAGUUGUGUAACGACAUGAUCACGGCACUACUGCAGCUGUCUUGUGAUCAAGAAGUAAAGCCCUGAAGGUCAGCAGAGAUGCUGAUCCAGACCAUUGACCUUGACAUCAGCGAGCUGCUGAAAGAACCUGGAACCACCUUGCUGGAGACUUCUGG